rnacentral:rRNA from 1 species
UCGAUCUCAAAUCAAGUAAGACUACCCGCUGAACUUAAGCAGUAA